rnacentral:rRNA from 1 species
CUACGGGGUGCAGCAGUGGGGAAUUUUGGACAAUGGGCGCAAGCCUGAUCCAGCCAUGCCGCGUGCAGGAUGAAGGCCUUCGGGUUGUAAACUACUUUUGUACGGAACGAAAAGACUCCUUCUAAUAAAGGGGGUCCAUGACGGUACCGUAAGAAUAAGCACCGGCUAACUACGUGCCAGCAGCCGCGGUAAUACGUAGGGUGCGAGCGUUAAUCGGAAUUACUGGGCGUAAAGCGUGCGCAGGCGGUGAUGUAAGACAGAUGUGAAAUCCCCGGGCUCAACCUGGGAACUGCAUUUGUGACUGCAUCGCUGGAGUGCGGCAGAGGGGGAUGGAAUUCCGCGUGUAGCAGUGAAAUGCGUAGAUAUGCGGAGGAACACCGAUGGCGAAGGCAAUCCCCUGGGCCUGCACUGACGCUCAUGCACGAAAGCGUGGGGAGCAAACAGGAUUAGAUACCCUUGUAGUC